rnacentral:rRNA from 1 species
UUGGCGGACGGGUGAGUAACGCGUGGGUAACCUGCCUUACACAGGGGGAUAACACUUAGAAAUAGGUGCUAAAACCGCAUAAGCGCACAGCUUCGCAUGAAGCGGUGUGAAAAACUCCGGUGGUGUAAGAUGGACCCGCGUCUGAUUAGCUUGUUGGCGGGGUAACGGCCCACCAAGGCGACGAUCAGUAGCCGGCCUGAGAGGGCGGACGGCCACAUUGGGACUGAGACACGGCCCAGACUCCUACGGGAGGCAGCAG